rnacentral:rRNA from 1 species
AUUGAACGCUGGCGGCAUGCCUUACACAUGCAAGUCGAACGGUAACAGGUCUUCGGACGCUGACGAGUGGCGAACGGGUGAGUAAUGCAUCGGAACGUGCCCGGUCGUGGGGGAUAACUGCUCGAAAGAGCAGCUAAUACCGCAUACGACCUGAGGGUGAAAGCGGGGGACCGUAAGGCCUCGCGCGAUUGGAGCGGCCGAUGUCAGAUUAGCUAGUUGGUGGGGUAAAGGCCUACCAAGGCAACGAUCUGUAGUUGGUCUGAGAGGACGACCAGCCACACUGGGACUGAGACACGGCCCAGACUCCUACGGGAGGCAGCAGUGGGGAAUUUUGGACAAUGGGCGCAAGCCUGAUCCAGCAAUGCCGCGUGCAGGAAGAAGGCCUUCGGGUUGUAAACUGCUUUUGUCAGGGAAGAAAUCUUCUGGGCUAAUACCCCGGGAGGAUGACGGUACCUGAAGAAUAAGCACCGGCUAACUACGUG